UACGUAGGGGGCUAGCGUUGUCCGGAUUUAUUGGGCGUAAAGAGCUCGUAGGUGGUUCGGUAAGUCGGAUGUGAAAUCUCCAGGCUCAACCUGGAGGGGUCAUUCGAUACUGCCGUGACUAGAGUUCGGUAGGGGAGUGUGGAAUUCCUGGUGGAGCGGUGAAAUGCGCAGAGACCAGGAGGAACACCCGUAGCGAAGGCGGCACUCUGGGCCGAUACUGACACUGAGGAGCGAAAGCGUGGGGAGCGAACAGG
rnacentral:rRNA from 1 species